GACGAACGCUGGCGGCGUGCCUAACACAUGCAAGUCGAGCGAUGAAAUUCCUUCGGGGAUGGAUUAGCGGCGGACGGGUGAGUAACACGUGGGUAACCUGCCUCAAAGUGGGGGAUAGCCUUCCGAAAGGAAGAUUAAUACCGCAUAAUAUUAGAUAUUCACAUGAAAAACUAAUUAAAGAAGCAAUUCGCUUUGAGAUGGACCCGCGGCGCAUUAGCUAGUUGGUGAGGUAAUGGCUCACCAAGGCGACGAUGCGUAGCCGACCUGAGAGGGUGAUCGGCCACAUUGGAACUGAGACACGGUCCAGACUCCUACGGGAGGCAGCAGUGGGGAAUAUUGCACAAUGGGGGAAACCCUGAUGCAGCAACGCCGCGUGAGUGAUGAAGGUCUUCGGAUUGUAAAGCUCUGUCUUUUGGGACGAUAAUGACGGUACCAAAGGAGGAAGCCACGGCUAACUACGUGCCAGCAGCCGCAGUAAAAC
rnacentral:rRNA from 1 species